GCCGCUGUCGCCGAGCCAGAGCCAGUGUUUAAACAAGCUAUAAAAAUGAAUUAUGACCAAACGCAUGCAGAGACUCAGCCCCCUUUUAGCCCAGGAAUUGGGGACUCCCAUAUGAAAAUGUAAGUGGGGUUUUAUUUGUGCACAUUACGCCACAAUUGGUCUCUUUAAUGUCCGUCUCAUUCAUGCCACGGAGUGAUUUAUGAGCUCCUGAAGGCAAACAUGGCUC
ensembl:misc_RNA